UGAAAUUCACUCACAUUCAUGAAGCUCUGAAAAGGGAAGGUUUUUCAAAACUGGUCAACAGUGGAACCUGAUUCAAAUGGGGGAGGAAAAACUAUCAUACACUGAAGGAGAUAUAAAAGCUGAAUCAACUAAAUACAGUGUGGACAUUGUCUGAAAUCUAAUUUGAAGAAUCUAAAGAACAGAACGGCAUUUUGAGACAAUCAUGGAACAUUAAACAUGAAAGAGGAGGAGACUGAGACAUUGAAAUUGUAAGCCACUUGCUCAGGGACCCAGGGAGAAGGAGCCAAGGGGGCGAGAAACUAGGUACUAACAGAAGGAUAGUCCUGUGGUUCCUGGUGUGCUAUCUGUACAUGUGAUCAUUUUUCUCCUACUCAAGAAAACACACCAGAAUGCAAGUCGGUGAAUUUUUGUAAAGAGAUCAUCUUGAAUCUGCUUCCAUUCAUUAAAAAAUUUAUCAGCAUUGA